rnacentral:rRNA from 1 species
AUGUUCAAGUUACUUGCAGUUCUCCCAGUGUUCUUCUUGAGUUUUGCAAUGUCAUGGGCGCAGCCAGCCAAUGUGACUGGCCUAAGCUUCCAGCUUGUCGCCCUUAGUCGGGUACCUGACUGGGACGCCGGCAAUGGCUCUUCCUACACCGCCGAGGACCUGCGCCCAUUGGCCUUGAUGCCGUCCGACUAUGUGCAUGGCGUGUUCGUGUCAAUCGGCAUCGGACAAGGCGGCAGGCGGAAGGUCCUUGCGCUCGACACCAACGCCAGCACGUCAUGGGUGAUGUGUGAGCCGUGUCACCCACCACUGCAUCAAGUUGGCAGACUCUUCUCGCCGGCCGCGUCACCCACGUUCCGUGGUGUCCACAGCAAUGACCCUGUCUGCGUCCCACCUUACCACCGCCUCCACUCGGCCAACGGGUGCUCCUUCGCCUUCCCUUCCGCCACCGGGUAUCUCGCACGCGACACCUUCCACCUGCGUCAUAGCGGGCGAAGUGCUGUGAAGUCUAUUUCCGGUGUGGCGUUUGGUUGUGCGCACACCACCACUGGGUUCUACAACGAGGACAUCCUCGGCGGGGUGCUCUCCCUCAGCACCACGCCACUCUCAUUCUUGACUCAGUUUGGUUCGCGCGCCGGCGGGAGGUUCUCCUAUUGCCUCCCCGAUCCCACCACCUCGCGCAACCCCAGCGGCUUCAUCCAGUUUGGCAUAGAAGUCCCAAGCCUGCCGCGGGACGCCCACACGACCACCCUCACCGCGAGUGCCUCGGGCUACCACCUCAGCCUCAUCGGCAUCAGCCUAGGGAACAAGCGCCUUGACAUCGAAAGACAUGUCUUCACCAGGCACGGCUGCAGCAUCAACCCCGCCGAGACCAUCACCAAGAUCGUGGAGCCAGCGUACCUUGUCGUGGCGAGAGAGCUGGUGGUGCAGAUGAAUGAGCUAGGAUCAAAGCAGGUGAAGGGGCCGCGUGGCGGCCCGCUCGUCUUCAACAAGAUUUCCAGGACGGCGCGGACACGGCUCCCCAGCAUGGUGUUCCACUUCGCGGAUGGCGGUGACAUGUGGUUCACGGCGGGGAAGCUGUUUCUUGUGAUUGGCACGACAGCACGGUUCUUGGUCGAGGGCCAUGGUUCCCACCGGACGGUGAUCGGCGCCGCGCAGCAGGUGAACGCACGGUUCAUUUUCAACGUCGCUGCGGGGAGGCUGACCUUCGCGGAGGAGCUGUGCAGUAGGGAUGCAGCGUAG